rnacentral:rRNA from 1 species
AAGACCUUGCGCUUUGGGAGCGGCCGAUGUCUGAUUAGCUAGUUGGUGGGGUAAUGGCCUACCAAAGCUUCGAUCAGUAGCUGGUCUGAGAGGACGGCCAGCCACACUGGGACUGAGACACGGCCCAGACUCCUACGGGAGGCAGCAGUGGGGAAUUUUGGACAAUGGGGGCAACCCUGAUCCAGCCAUUCCGCGUGAGUGAAGAAGGCCUUCGGGUUGUAAAGCUCUUUCAGCUGGAACGAAACGGUACAUCCUAAUACGGUGUGCUAAUGACGGUACCAGCAGAAGAAGCACCGGCUAACUACGUGCCAGCAGCCGCGGUAAUACGUAGGGUGCAAGCGUUAAUCGGAAUUACUGGGCGUAAAGGGUGCGCAGGUGGUUUUGUAAGUCAGAUGUGAAAUCCCCGGGCUUAACCUGGGAAUU